AGGGAAGCGGCAGGGCCUAGCACUCAGCAGGCAGAGGGCAGGGAGGGGGGCCUGGCCCGGGCCCCCAGCCCCCGAAGGCCCCCGGGCCUGGUGUAUGCAGUGGGGGCUCCCCCGUGACGGGGUCCUGGGUACCCGCCUAUGCACCGUGAGCUGGGCCCUGGUCACCGUCCCCUCCCAGACUGGGCUGGGGGUCGGGGAGGAAGGCCACCUGCGGAUCCCCCAGCAAUGACCUCGGAGGGACUCUGGGCUUAAGGGCUGGAUCUCGGCCCCAGGGCAGGCGAGUGGAGACAUGGUCCUCGGGAAAAGAGAGGGACCGCCAGGUGCUCGCUGGGGCAACAUCUCCACACCCACCUAAGCACCCCCGCCCUGCCCCCGCCCCCGGGGCUGCCCCAGCUUCUUCUGUGAAGUGCAGGUAUGGGCGUGGCUCGAAGCCAGAACCACCAUGUGGACACUUCCAAAGGCUGGUUUGCAGAGGAGACACCCAGCGCCGGGCAGGGCCCACACACAGCCGCUCAAGGGGACUGAAGCAGUGAGGUCUCGGGUCACCCCUGCUCUUCCUCCCUGUGCUUGUUUUGGUAACAAGCAGAAACCAUCGGACCUGCCAGCGAAGCCGACGCCCGUCCAGCCCUGCUGAGCGUGUCAGGAUGGAGCAGACGACCCGUCCCGUCCGUGCUCUACCUCUCCCCACGGAGCAGGGAGGUCUUCCUCCUUCCACUCUUGUCCCGGAGGGGCUGGACUUCACCCCCCUGGUGCAGGGGUCAAGAGAAUUCAGAUUUCUAACCUUUCUGAGUGCUUGUUAGAAAAAUCAGAUUAAAUGCUCCCAAAUUAAAGGAAAAUAAAACAAACAAGAGGUGUCUCAGUCCAUGGGUCCAUACAUAACUGUCAAAUAUUUUCCUGUAAAAUAGAACUUGAAUAAAUUAAAAGUCUGGGAAAAUCCCCCCAAAGGGGGGUCCUAGUGAUGCCAAGUCUGCCUGCUUCCCGCCCCGCCCAGACCUCGCGAGCACAGACGCGGGAACCGGUCAGAACGGCGA